rnacentral:lncRNA from 7 species
GGAUGCAUGCGAAUAUAAUAUAAUAAUAAAAUGCGAACCCAAUCCGGAUUUGUCGCCUGGUGUCUAAUCGAGCACAUCAGCACCGGAUCAUGGAUCCUCUGAUGAGAACGAUCGAGAGGAGAGGCAGGUCGUCGGGGGCCCGACCAGUUGAUAAAUAAUUUGCACACGCAACCGCACAGCAUCGAUUCGAUUGGAUCGCGGACGGCUACGUCGUCUAUAGCAUUAUAUAAUUGAUCAGUUUAAACCUUACAAAAACUCAUCUAAUUAAAUCAUUCCACAUAUCUCUAUCUAUAACCUCUAAAUAAAUUAUAUAUAAACUUAACACUCAUUCAAAUCUAAUAAACAAUAUUAUUAAGAUCAACCUUCAUCUCUACCACAGUUCCGCCGCAUCUAACCUUCUCCAUGUCUCCCUACCCUCCGCCGUCAACCCUUCUUAUUUUUACCUCGAGAUCGUAGCGCAGGCUGCCCCCUGCCCGACACAUAUCGCCCGCCCCGGCAUGCGGCGACGAUCUAUUUCCCAGCGAUAGGGAUCGGCGCCACCGAUGUGAUGCUGCCGUGUCCUGGAUUUGCACCUACCGCCCGUUCCCAACAUGCGUAUCG